AGCUCUGAUGCCCCAUUCCCAGUUGUGGGUUCAGAAGCAGAGCCUGGGGCAUCUCCACCAUGGCCUGGACUCCUCUCCUGCUCCCCCUCCUUAUUCUCUGCACAGGUUCUGUGGCAGCUUCUGAACUGACUCAGCCACCUGCGGUGUCUGUGGCCUUGGGACAGACAGCCAGGAUUACAUGCGAGGCAGGCAGCUUCGAAAGCAGUAUUAUUAACUGGUAUCAGCAGAAACCAGACCAAGCCCCCGUGCUGGUCAUUUAUGAGGAUAGUGAGCAGCCCACAGGGAUUCCUAACAGAUUCUCUGGCACCAGCUCGGGGGAUGCAGCCACUCUGACCAUCACCGGGGCCCAGGCUGAGGAUGAGGCUGACUAUUACUGUCAGUCCUAUGAUAACAGUGGUGAUGCUCACAGUGACACAGGCAGAUGGGGAAGUGAGACACAAACCCCUUUCCCAUCUAUGUCACACUCUCCUCCAGCCCCAGCAGGACUGUGCACAAAGCAAUCGGUAGGUCUGGCCCAGGUCCCCAGAUCUGAGGUCUGGAGUCUGUCCCCUUACUCUUCACCUACCAGGCAGGCUCUGCACAGUGUGGAUCAGCAGGGGAUUCAUAAACAGUUAUUAGAACAACAUUUCCUCCGUUACUGUGGGUGAAUGAAUGCCUGCGUGUUGAGGAGCAGACAUGGAAGACAUUUCUCAAAGACAAACUUCUUUAAAACUCCCGUAAUGAAAUGUUCUGAAAUUUAAAAAUACACUGGAUAGAUUGACAGCAGAUUGGAUGCUGUAAAAGAAGAGAAGGGUGAAUUUGAUGUCACGCAAUUAAAACUAUUCAAAAUGAAACACAGAAGCAAACACCUAAGAAAAAAAGUGAAUAUAAGCUCAGUGCCUGUAGGACAACUUCAGGGCACCCAGAGAGUGUGCAGGAUAGAAACAGAGGGAGAGAAGAGAAGGAACUGAUGGUUCAUAAAACAUAGGUGAGGAAAUAAUCUAUAAAAAGGCUUCAAAUUUGGUGAAAUCCAUAAACCAAUAUAUCCAAGAGUCUAAAGGAAGCUUGGGCACAGGGGACAUGAAAGACAGCACAGAACACGUCAUGAGGGAAUUGCUAGAAACGAGUGAUGCCGACACUCUCACAGCCGGAGAGGAGAUGUGUUCCCUACAGAGGAACCAAUUUCAUGGUGGAAGCACAUUUCUCAUUACAGCCAUGUAAGCAAGAGAACAGGAAGCAAUGUCUUCACAAUCCUCAUAGAAAAUGCCUGUAAAAUUUGGCCUUUACCCAGGGGAAAUCUCAUUGAAAAGGGAAGACACACUAAUCCUUUCUCAGACCGCAAGCCUCUCAGAACACCCACAGACCCUCGGCACAAGCAACAGUAAAGGACGCCCCUCAGACAGAAGGAAAGGGUGACAGAGGGAGAGGGGAAUACACACAAAGAUAGAAAAAGCAUCAGGUAUCAUAACUCCAUGGGUAAAUACAAAAAUAAGUUUAGUGGUUC